rnacentral:miRNA from 1 species
CUGGGCUAUUACUCACAAACC